UACGUAGGGUGCGAGCGUUAAUCGGAAUUACUGGGCGUAAAGCGUGCGCAGGCGGUUUGGUAAAACAGAUGUGAAAUCCCCGGGCUUAACCUGGGAACUGCAUUUGUGACUGCCAGACUAGAGUGUAGCAGAGGGGGGUAGAAUUCCACGUGUAGCAGUGAAAUGCGUAGAGAUGUGGAGGAAUACCGAUGGCGAAGGCAGCCCCCUGGGCUAACACUGACGCUCAUGCACGAAAGCGUGGGGAGCAAACAGGAUUAGAUACCCUGGUAGUCCACGCCCUAAACGAUGUCAACUAGGUGUUGGGGAAGGAGACUUCUUUAGUACCGCAGCUAACGCGUGAAGUUGACCGCCUGGGGAGUACGGUCGCAAGAUUAAAACUCAAAGGAAUUGACGGGGACCCGCACAAGCGGUGGAUUAUGUGGAUUAAUUCGAUGCAACGCGAAAAACCUUACCUACCCUUGACAUGUCAGGAAGAUUCCAGAGAUGGGAUUGUGCCCGAAAGGGAACCUGAACACAGGUGCUGCAUGGCUUUCGUCAGCUCGUGUCGUGGGAUGUUGGGUUAAGUCCCGCAACGAGCGCAACCCUUGUCAUUAAUUGCCAUCAUUUAGUUGGGCACUUUAAUGAGACUGCCGGUGAUAAACCGGAGGAAGGUGGGGAUGACGUCAAGUCCUCAUGGCCCUUAUGGGUAGGGCUUCACACGUAAUACAAUGGUCGGUACAGAGGGUUGCCAACCCGCGAGGGGGAGCUAAUCUCAGAAAGCCGAUCGUAGUCCGGAUCGGAGUCUGCAACUCGACUCCGUGAAGUCGGAAUCGCUAGUAAUCGCGGAUCAGCAUGUCGCGGUGAAUACGUUCCCGGGUCU
rnacentral:rRNA from 1 species